UUUAUAGAUUAACCAAGUGUAAGCAAAC
rnacentral:piRNA from 1 species